UACGUAGGGGGCAAGCGUUGUCCGGAAUUAUUGGGCGUAAAGAGCGUGUAGGCGGCUGGUUAGGUGUGAUGUGAAAUCCUCGGGCUCAACCCGAGAACUGCAUUGCAAACCGGCCUGGCUAGAGUGCAGGAGAGGGAAGCGGAAUUCCAGGUGUAGCGGUGAAAUGCGUAGAUAUCAGGAAGAACACCCGUGGCGAAGGCGGCUUUCUGGGACGGUACUGACGCUGAGACGCGAAAGCGUGGGGAGCGAACAGG
rnacentral:rRNA from 1 species